rnacentral:rRNA from 1 species
AGAGUUGAUCCUGGCUUAGAACGAACGCUGGCGGCGCGUCUUAAGCAUGCAAGUCGAACGGCAAGGAUGGUAGCUUGCUACCAUCCCUAGAGUGGCGGACUGGUGAGUAACACGUGGGUGAUCUACCCUUGAGAUGGGGAUAGCCAUUAGAAAUAGUGGAUAAUACCGAAUACGCUCUACGGACUCUGGUUUGUAGAGGAAACAGGCUACGGCCUGGCUCGAGGAUGGGCCCGCGUCCCAUUAGCUAGUUGGUGAGGUAAGAGCCCACCAAGGCGACGAUGGGUAUCCGGCCUGAGAGGGUGUACGGACACAUUGGGACUGAGAUACGGCCCAAACUCCUACGGGAGGCAGCAGCUAAGAAUAUUCCGCAAUGGACGAAAGUCUGACGGAGCGACGCCGCGUGGAAUGACGAAGGCCGAAGGGUUGUAAAAUCCUUUUGCUGAUGAAGAAUAAGCGUGGUAGGGAAUGACCGCGUGAUGACAUUAGUCGGUGAAUAAGCCCCGGCUAACUACGUGCCAGCCGCCGC